GAUGAACGCUGGCGGCGUGCCUAAUACAUGCAAGUCGAGCGAACAGACGAGGAGCUUGCUCCUCUGACGUUAGCGGCGGAGGGGUGAGUAACACGUGGAUAACCUACCUAUAAGACUGGGAUAACUUCGGGAAACCGGAGCUAAUACCGGAUAAUAUAUUGAACCGCAUGGUUCAAUAGUGAAAGACGGUUUUGCUGUCACUUAUAGAUGGAUCCGCGCCGCAUUAGCUAGUUGGUAAGGUAACGGCUUACCAAGGCAACGAUGCGUAGCCGACCUGAGAGGGUGAUAGGCCACACUGGAACUGAGACACGGUCCAGACUCCUACGGGAGGCAGCAGUAGGGAAUCUUCCGCAAUGGGCGAAAGCCUGACGGAGCAACGCCGCGUGAGUGAUGAAGGUCUUCGGAUCGUAAAACUCUGUUAUUAGGGAAGAACAAAUGUGUAAGUAACUAUGCACGUCUUGACGGUACCUAAUCAGAAAGCCACGGCUAACUACGUG
rnacentral:rRNA from 1 species